AUCGCUUCUCAGCCUUUUGGCUAAGAUCAAGUGUAAAAGUUGUACUGUUUGUAACCUCUACCUUUAUCAAUAUGUCAUAAUAUAUAUUAACACAAGAAAUAAGAUGAAAUAUUU
ensembl:snRNA U2 U2 spliceosomal RNA